rnacentral:lncRNA from 1 species
UCUCUGCAUAAAGCCAUGGCAUUCAUUUUCAGAAAGUUCCCUGAGAUUAGUUGAUGAGCACAUUUUUAUUCAUCACAGGAAAAGGUCACAUUAAACUGAAAAAAACAGAAAGUCAUAAAUUAUUUUAUAGGUGAUAUUGGAGGGAGUAAAAUAGAACUACGUGCCCUCUUUGAGUAAAAGAGAAUUAUUCUCUUCCCCAAGUAAGAAGUAAUGGCUUCAGUAGUGGGUGGAUUAUUGAACUAAAAAUGUGGCUGGUUGGUGAGAACAUAACAAAAAGCUAUCAAAUGUGAUUUUAAUCUCUGACAUACUAAGAGGAGUGACACAAAAAAUGAAUAUCUAAUAGUUUCCCAUUUUUAUAAAGUAGUCAAACCCUUCGACUUGAGUUGCUUAUGAACAAACUCUUUGUAUUUUGAAUUUGAAACUGUAAAACCCAUCCUAAUACAUUUUUGGAAGCUGACUAUGUGAACACAGCACUGUGUUUAACUUAGGAAGACAGAAUUUGGUAUCUGCUUCUUAAAAGCUCACAAUUGGUUGGGCCUGAAAUUCAUGUAUAUAUUUAUUCAUUCAAUAUUUCUUUAGUGUCUACCAUGUAGCAGAUAUACUGGGAUUAAAGCAAUAUACCCCUUGGGCUCUGAUCUCACAUUGAAAUUGUCCCCCAUUUCAAAGUCAUAUUAUGGAGGUGUUGGCAAUGUUGACCAUCUUUCAGACACUCUUUUGCAUUAUCUUGUUUAUUUUGUACAGAACAUUUUGGGAGGUGUCACCUUGUUUCACAUGUGAGAAAACCAAGAUUCACAGAUGUUGUCAUUUACCCAAAGUGAUACAGCCAGCAAGUAUCAGGGGUGGGAUUUGAAUCCAUGUCAGGUCUCCAUAAAUCCAAGCUCUUUUCAGUGUGACCAGCUCUAUAUUGUCCCAAGGAAAUGCCUUAAAAUUUCAUGUGACAGUGGACGAGUGGAAGGAAGCUGCUGCUUCUCUCUGGCUUUAGCAUUUAUUUCCUUGGAAAUGCGAGGAAAUCAGAGUUGAUAAUUUUGUAGUCAGAUUGGUUGGAUGUGGCUUGACAGUGCUUCAGAAUGUCAUAAUCAUGGCAAACAUGAAUUGUUUGAUGGGAUGGUUAAUUUUAUGUGUCACCUUGACUAGCCCAUGGGGUGUCCAGAUAUUUGGGCAAACAUUAUUCUGGGAGAGAAUUUCUCCUGCCUGACUGCCUUUGAACUGGGACCUCAGCCUUUCUUGCCUUUGGACACAAAUGGAAAUGUUUUCCCGGGCUUUGGGCCUGUCAGCCCUUGGAUGGUUCUCCUGGUGCUCAGGCCUUCAGACUCAUCCUGGAAUGAUUCUGUAUCUCCAGUUUGAUGACUCAUCCUCUAGAUCUUGGUCCUUGUCACUGGCCAUCAUGGCAGGAGCCAAUUCCUUAUAAUAAAUCUCUGUAUAUAUAUUAAUUAUUAUAUUAAUUAUAUAAUAUAUAAUUAUAUAUAUUAAUUAUGAGGGCACUGGGGCUUUUCUGUCCAUCACUCCCAGUGGCUAUCAUCCAAGCAUUAUCUAGCAAACAUGCAGGGGGAGGCAUCAGGCCAGACCACAAGAGUCAGUCCUCACAAUAUGUCCCUGGGCCAUGCUGCCACCUAUUACAUGUCUGGGCUUUAGUUAAGUCACAAGCAUUGAAGGUAAGAAGUUGGCAUCUAGUGUCCUGGGUGUUGUGUCAGCAAGAGCUGACAGCAGCCACCUACCUAGGGUAGUGAGUGUGGGAUCACAAGGCCUGUCUGUAGGGGAAAGACAAGUGAGCCAAAGCUCUCACAUUUCAUCUGACUCCCUUGCUUUGCUAUGAAAAAAAUAUAUAAAAAAGCAUAUACACAUCCCCAAGUCCUGACCCCAAGCCACCUCCACUAUUCCUGCCUCACACAAUUCUGAGUGCCCACACUGGCCAGGAAUGGACAGAUGACUGCAGAGAUCUUGCAGCAUCCUCGACUUUCUCCACAAACCCAGGCAUAAAGAGCUGAUGAAGUGCCCUGCACUCAAGAGAGCUUGAAAGAAGCAGAGCAUGUACUUUUCUCUGUCAACAGAGCCUGGAGGAUUUUGCUGGUAAAGGGAAGGAAAAAUCAAUAGGACUGUUUAAAAUGUAAUGGUGGCUGCUAAGCAGUGCAGAAAGGGCAGGCCAAGGAGGAUUUCAAGGCCCUGGAGGAUGCCAGGCCCCCGCCUAUCGAGGAGGACUGGCCAAGGAAGCAAAUUUCUAGAAAAGAUGAGAUGUUUCUUCCUUCUUCUUUCCCUACUUCUGAAUCACAUUCCUCAGAAGGCUUCUUGCCACUCUCAUGCUGCACAGCAUCAGCAGUAGCUCCAGGACCUCCAGGACCCACCUUGUGUCAGGUUUACUCAGCAUUUUCCCUGUCUUGAGAAAUCGGCUAAGCAAUUUACACACAAACAUAGAUGCACGUGUUAUCUCCAGUUUACAUGAAAGGAAACUCAGCUCAGCAAGGUUAAGUAACUUGUCCAUCUUCACACAGCCAGUGAGUUGCAAAAUUCAAUGUAGUAAGCCCAGGUAGGCUUGGUUUCAAAGCACAUGCUCCUUUUGUCUUAGCAUUUCACUCCAGCCAAAGUCACCUGAGAGUCGAUUUACCUGCUUCUGUGAGUUGCAGUUGGUCGGUCAUUUCGGAGCUUCUCCUAAGUAUAUCACUUAGGUAUUGGGCUGCCUUUCAGCCCCUAAGCUACUCACAGGUCAACUUGCUAGUCAUCUUGGCAAGAGUAAUGGGUGUAUAAGUGGCUGCAGAUUGCGACAGUUUUAGUCCUUGGUAACUGAUUUAUGUCACCUAAAGUCUUUGGCUGUGGGUCUAAUGGUCAGUAGUCCAUUUUCCCAUUUAGGAGUGGGGCUGGUGCACACUGGGGAUCUCAUGUCCAGCUCAGAAUUUGAAAGAAGAUAUACAGGCACCCCCCAAAUGAUUGUGUUUGUGGUUCUUUUUUUUUUUCUUUCCUAGUUCUUUAAAGAAGUUCUGGGCACAAGGCUGUCAGUAGGAAUGAGGAGAAGGUGAGAAAAUGCACAUGUAACUUACAGUUGUUGGCUUUGGGAGAGGUUCCUCUAUCUCCACCAGUAUACCUCCACAGAUGCAACCAACCACAGAUCAUGUAGAACUCUAAUAUUCAUUAUUGAUAAAAAUCCAUGUAUUCAUGGACCUGAGCAGUUCAAAUACAUGUUGUUCAAGAGUCAAUUAUCUGUGUGUGUGUAUCUGUGUGCGUGUGUGUAUCAUAUUUUGUUUAUUCAUUCAUCCACCAAUGGACGCUGGGGUGACCUACUGGAUAUUGCAAAAAAAGUGUUCCUGUGAACACAGGUGUGUAGUUUUCUUCCUGUUUUUACAUAUGAAGAUCCUUAGGUGCAGAAAAGUGGUAUGACAGCCCGAAGUUGCAGAGUCAGUAAGUAAUAGAGCUUGAAAAGCUAAAAAGUCAAGGCAUUAAGGGGACUCUACAAAAUUGCAAAGCAAAGCACUGCUCCCUGGAGGGCCAACUCCUCCAGUCUGUGCCCAGGACAGAGAUGGAAGGGCCACCUUGCUGAGCAGGGCUCAGGUCUAGUGCUCCUCGGUGGAAGUUUUGCAGAGGCCGCUGUAGGGCUGUUCUUCGGGGUGAUUGGCUCUCUCCCUCCUUGGUGCCCACAGCCCAGGGAAGUGGAAAACCAGUGGGGACCAGUGCCAAGGGUGGCUGGACCAAGCUUGGAGAGAGAAGAGCCCAUCCUCAGUGCCUUCCUUCUGGAGGCGUGCACAAGAGUGUGUAAUGGGAAGGGGCUGGCUCAUGAGGACACAGGCAGCUGCCAGCAUGGAAUCUUGUGUGUGUGUGCUUUGAUAUAGAAGGAAUCAUUUGGAGUGUAAUCCAUGACUACCACCUGGUAAAAAUGCAGAUUCUCAGGCCCCACCCUAGACCAGCUGAAUCACACCUGCAUUUUACAAGUUCCCAAGCGGUCUGAGGGAACUUUAAGGUUUGAAGAGCACUGCCUUAGAGCUUUUUGAAGUACAUACACAUUUAUGACAUUUCUUCCUCACUUUUAAAAUUCACAAAGUCUUCACCAGACAGGGCUGAAGGUGUAGAGUGGGCUGCCUGCUUCCCCCGUGUUUCCUGGAGGCAGAGGAGAGUUCCCCUGGGGAUAAGGGCCUGUCUUCCCAUGCCACGUGUCUCAAGGUUCUGGAGGGAAAUUCUCAAAACCAAUGAGAGAUUGUGUGAGGGAAGGGAGAGACCAAAUGGGAAAGUAUUGCUUUUGUUGAAUAGAGAUUCAGCUCUGUCAGGCAUAUACUUAUAGACUUACUUAAUUGCACAAAAACCCUCCGAGGAAGUCACUGUGUUUACACCAUUUUGUAGACAAGGAGAAUGAUAUUCAGAGAGGUGAAGUGCCUUACCUAGGGUCACACAGCAAAGUGGCUAGUUCUCCCUGAAGAUGGCCCCAAAUGAGGCUCUUCCCCUGCUGCCUACAAUGUCAGGUUUGCUGUUUGGGUCCCAGUGUCAAUUCCUGGACUCUGCAGUCUUAGGACACUCAAGCAGGGGCUAUGAGUUCAGUAUUCACUCCAGGGCUAGGUGAAUAAAUUUAAGGGUAUUUGAAUUUAAGGAAGUAAAAUAAUGAAUAAGUGGGAUAUAUAUUCCUGGUUGUGGAAUUACUGGGUCAGAGUUUGUAUUCUUCUUGUGGUUUUAAUUUGCAUUUCCCUCAUGAUUAAUUUGCAUUUCCCUGAUGUCAACCAUAUUUCAUAUAGUUUAUAUCCUUCUAUGUUAAGUGUCCACUUUUCUAUUGAGUUGCCUUUUUAAUUGAUUUGUGGAAGUUCUUUAUGUUAUUAGUAUACAGAAGGCAAAUAUUUUUCCUGCUCUGUGGGUAUUUUUUACUUCCUUAAUGGGAUUUUGAUGAAUAAAAGUUUUUAAAUUGUGGGGUUUUUUUUUUCUAAUGAAGAGGGGAGAUUAGAGAAGGGCCUUUUUCUAAAAGUUCUUAAUUUUAAUGAAUUCUAACUUAAGUAUUCAUGCAUUUUUGUGUCCCAUCAAAGAAAUCUUUGCCUAUGUUAAAGUCAUGAAGAUAUUUCCCUAUGCUUCUCCUAAAAGCUUUAAUGGCUUAAUAUUCACAUUUAAAUCAGUAAUCUAUCUGGAAUUGGGUUUUGUGAACCAUGUGAUGUAGAGGGUCUAAUACCAUUUAUCAAAAAGACUCUCCUCCUCCAACUACACGGCAGUGUUACCUUUGUGACAAUAGGCAAUGCAUUCAUCUAAAUCUCUUCUCAGAUUCUACAUUCUGUUUCAUUGAUCCAUAUGCCCAAACUUGCAUUCAUUAAUGUAAUUCUAAAUUAAGUCUCAAUAGCCUCCAAUUUUGUUCUUCCAUAUUGGCUUGGCUCUUCUUAGGCUUUUGCUAAAAUCUGCUUGUCAAUUUCCCCCAAGAAACAUCCUUCGGAGAUUCAACCCUGAUGCAUUGAAUCUACAUAUCAAUUUGUGGAGAACUGACAUUUUCACACUAUUGAGGGUUUAUAGAUUCCUUCUAUUGAUAGAAGUAGUCUUUAAAGUUUCCUGUUGUGAUUUUUACUUUUCACUGUGAAGGGCUUAAACAUCUUUCAUUAUAUUUAUUCCUAAAUAUUUGGUACAUUUUAUGCAAUUGUAUUUUUAAAACAAAAUUUAAAUUUUAUUUUCUAUAGUGUUUGUUUAAAGAAAUACAGGUGAUAUUUAUAUGUUGCCCUUAUAGCUGAAGGACUUAAAAUUCACUAGAGUUCCCAUUGUGGUUCAGUGGUCUAAGAACCUGAGUCCAUAAGGAUGCAGGUUCGAUCCCUGACCUCGUUCAGUGGAUUAAAGGAUCCAGUGUUGCCACAAGCUGCAGUGUAGAUCACAGAUGCAGCUCGGAUCUGGUGUUGCCAUGGCUGUGGUGUAGCCCUCAGAUGUAGCUACAAUUCGACCCCUGGCCUGGGAACUUGCAUAUGCC